rnacentral:rRNA from 1 species
CCGUUGCCGGCGACCGGCGCACGGGUGAGUAACACGUAUGCAACCUGCCCGUGGCAGGGGGAGUAAGCGGGGGAAACCCCGUACUAAUACCGCGUAACGCGGCCUUGGGGCAUCCCAAGGCCGCCAAAGGGAGCAAUCCCGGCCACGGAUGGGCAUGCGGCGCAUUAGCUAGUCGGCGGGGUAACGGCCCACCGAGGCGACGAUGCGUAGGGGUUCUGAGAGGAAGGCCCCCCCACACUGGUACUGAGACACGGACCAGACUCCUACGGGAGGCAGCAG